rnacentral:ncRNA from 2 species
UUCUUAUCGAGAGAAGCUGAGGGACUGGCCCGUGGAAGCUUCAGCAACCAGCCGCCUGAUGGCUAAGGUGCUAAAUCCAGCAAACUGCCGGGCAGUUUGAAAGAUAAGAA